ACCCCUCAUUCAGUCAUCUCCCCUAAGUUUCGUUAGAAACCCUAGCCGCCCCCAAAUUCCCAAAUCCCACCGACCAGCGGUGCCACUCCAAACAUCCUCAUCUUCUAACCAGACAACCACCAUAACCUCCUCAUCCUAUAUCUAUCACUAAUUUUUCCAAAAUCCUUACCCAUUUGCUCCAAUUUCAGAUCUAGAACUCUGAAAGAAAACCAAAACCCUAAACUGUCUUUUUCUCUUCGAUUUUUAUGGUUUCAAAGGCUCGAUUUGAGCCAAAGUUUAUUUCUAGACCGCCGGAUUCCGACCAAGUCAGUACUGACCGGCCAAGCUUCGUCAAGUAUCAUCGUUCGUUGAUUUGCCUUGUUUGUUCAAGCAUAUCCGACCAAAUCAGUAUAUGUUUCUUUCUCUUUUCUUUUUUUUGUUGUUGUUUUUUUCUGUUUUUUCCUUUAUGUUCUUUUAUCACUAGUUAGUUUGAUUAGUUCAAUUUAAAAAUAGGUUACUUAAGUUAAUUGCAUGAUUUGGGAUUAACACUUUGGUUUGAUUUUUCUGUCCUGGCCGAAUUCAAUUAGUGUGUUCAAUAGCAUAAAGUAUCAAAGUAAUUUGUUAAAGUAUUUAGUUGAUUAAUAUUUGUUCCUGUCAGUGUGUUUGUUCGGAAUUGAAACUUGAGGGGGGUCUAAAGGAACAUGGAAACUUAGGGUAUUUAGAAUCAGAAAUUAAGUUGGCUAUUGGUAUUAAGCAGAACUUAAAGGGACCAAUUUGGAAGUUGAAAUAGAAGAAUUUCAUAUAAAAUAUCAGAAGCUUCUAGAAGGGACUAAAGGUUUUCUUUAAAAUCAGAAUUUAGGUCAAAAAAAGACAAAAGGAGGAAAUUUUCAGAAGUAAAAGGAUUAAAAAAGUUGAGUAAAUAUCUGGAUAGAACAACUGUCCUAACAAUUGUACCAAGACUAUCAAAAGAUGUAUGAUCUGACCUUUUAGGAAUUUAUGGCAUAAUAUGUCUUUUGGAUGUUGUUUUUGUACACUCUAUAAAAGAAAAGGACCAUUAUUGAUUCUGGGCAGAAUUUUGACAACAAAGAAAAGCUUAUGAGACUCAGAAUAUCUUUUUCCUUUUAAGACUGAUUUUGAAACCCAAAAUGUUUUUCUUAAUUGGAGAAAACCUUUCUCAUUUGGCAAGAAUUUGGCUUGGGAGCUUCAUUUGGUCUGGGGUUUACUGGUGUGCUUUUGUUUGUUGUUGCUGCUAAAGUUGGCCUUUUCUCUUUGGAUUUCUACGCCUUUAUUUGGGUCAUUUUCUUCUGUCCUCUUAUUUCUAGGUAUGUAACAUCACAAUCUAAAACCUCUCUUAAAUAUAAAACUGAAGUUUUAAUCUGUUCAAGCUUUGCCUAUGUUUAACAGUUUGUGCCUCAAAGAUGUAUGAUUAUCUUGUUUAUUAUCAAAUCUAUCCAUUCUUUCCUUUCUUCUUCCAUGAUGAAUGAAGUAUAUUACUGUGAUUGUGCUGCUCAAAGUCUCUUUAGAAUGGAGUUAUUUGAUUUUUAAAGUAAAGUGAUGUAGCAUAAGUUUAGUCCAUGAAUAAAAAAGACUUAUUUGGUACAUUAGCAUUUACACUUUUCUUUUAAAAAAAAUUGAAUGUGUAAGUUGCAUGAAUAAGUUGAUGUCAAUAUGGUUAAAGUUUGCAGUUUCAGCUUUAGCUUUAUAUAUAGAGCUUCUAUAGUUGUUUUCUGCAUAUAUUAUUGAAUGAGGUGGUAUUAAUCAGAGGAUAUUGAAGGGUGUUGUUGUUGGUCACAUGGCUAUAUUCUGCAGAUUUGGCCACCAGUUGGCCAAAUCAACAAUAUCUAGGCCAAAGAAUGGGAUUCUGUUGAUGAUAGCAUGCUGAAAAUAAUGGUUUCUUGUGGUGGAUCAAGCUUUUGAUGGAUAAUUCAUAUCCAAAAGGGGCAAGUAUUCACUAGACUAUCAAUUACGUGGAAAUUGUAAUAGAAUAGUUGAUAUUUUUCUCUUGUAUGAUCAAUUUCUGGCGUAGUAGAUCAAGUGUAAUUCUCACAUUUUUUUAAAGAUAUUUUGUAAUAGCUGCCAGUUUAGUGUCAAGAUGCUAUAAAUAUAACAUGACCAUUAGAAAGUCAGCUGAGCUUAUGUGAAUUCAUGAUGAGUUUGAAGUAAUUAAUGACUUGAUGAUAACAACUUUUGCGUUGAUGAUUGUUAUUUAAAAUUAAUUUUGAGCAGAGUGGUAUCUUUGAGCAUGUUAUAUCGAGUUUCAUGGCUAUAAAUUCAUUGCAUGAUGUUUGAUUUUUGGUUAGUUGUGUUAUUUAGCCAAAGUCGACUUUGG
rnacentral:lncRNA from 1 species